rnacentral:rRNA from 1 species
GACAGAGGGUGCAAACGUUGUUCGGAAUUACUGGGCGUAAAGCGCGUGUAGGCGGUGUGGUAAGUCGGAUGUGAAAGCCCCGGGCUCAACCCGGGAAGUGCACUCGAUACUGCCACGCUAGAGUAUCGGAGAGGUUGGUGGAAUUCUCGGUGUAGAGGUGAAAUUCGUAGAUAUCGAGAGGAACACCGGUGGCGACGGCGGCCAACUGGACGAAUACUGACGCUGAGACUCGAAAGCGUGGGGAGCAAACAGG